GCAGAGAGUACUCUGACCCCUGAAA
rnacentral:misc_RNA from 1 species